rnacentral:rRNA from 1 species
UACAGAGGGUGCAAACGUUGCUCGGAAUUAUUGGGCGUAAAGCGCGUGUAGGCGGCUUGUUAAGUUGGUUGUGAAAACCCAUGGCUCAACCAUGGAAGGGCGUCCAAAACUGGCAAGCUAGAGUCCCGACGAGGAUGGCGGAAUUCCCAGUGUAGAGGUGAAAUUCGUAGAUAUUGGGAGGAACACCGGUGGCGAAGGCGGCAUCCUGGACCGGCAUUGACGCUGAGGAGCGAAAGCCAGGGGAGCAAACGGG